AUUGAACGCUGGCGGCAUGCCUUACACAUGCAAGUCGAACGGUAACAGGUCUUCGGAUGCUGACGAGUGGCGAACGGGUGAGUAAUACAUCGGAACGUGCCUAGUAGUGGGGGAUAACUACUCGAAAGAGUGGCUAAUACCGCAUGAGAUCUACGGAUGAAAGCAGGGGAUCGCAAGACCUUGUGCUACUAGAGCGGCCGAUGGCAGAUUAGGUAGUUGGUGGGAUAAAAGCUUACCAAGCCGACGAUCUGUAGCUGGUCUGAGAGGACGAUCAGCCCCACUGGGACUGAGAAACGGCCCAGACUCCUACGGGAGGCAGCAGUGGGGAAUUUUGGACAAUGGGGGCAAGCCUGAUCCAGCAAUGCCGCGUGCAGGAUGAAGGCCUUCGGGUUGUAAACUGCUUUUGUACGGAACGAAAAGCCCCGGGUUAAUACCCUGGGGUCAUGACGGUACCGUAAGAAUAAGCACCGGCUAACUACGUGCCAGCCGCCGCGGUAA
rnacentral:rRNA from 1 species